rnacentral:rRNA from 1 species
GACGAACGCUGGCGGCGUGCUUAACACAUGCAAGUCGAACGGAAAGGCCCUGCUUUUGUGGGGUGCUCGAGUGGCGAACGGGUGAGUAACACGUGAGUAACCUGCCCUUGACUUUGGGAUAACUUCAGGAAACUGGGGCUAAUACCGGAUAGGAGCUCCUGCUGCAUGGUGGGGGUUGGAAAGUUUCGGCGGUUGGGGAUGGACUCGCGGCUUAUCAGCUUGUUGGUGGGGUAGUGGCUUACCAAGGCUUUGACGGGUAGCCGGCCUGAGAGGGUGACCGGCCACAUUGGGACUGAGAUACGGCCCAGACUCCUACGGGAGGCAGCAGUGGGGAAUAUUACACAAUGGGCGGGAGCCUGAUGCAGCAACGCCGCGUGCGGGAUGACGGCCUUCGGGUUGUAAACCGCUUUCGCCUGUGACGAAGCGUGAGUGACGGUAAUGGGUAAAGAAGCACCGGCUAACUACGUG